rnacentral:rRNA from 1 species
CUGGCGGCGUGCCUAACACAUGCAAGUCGAACGGGAAAGCGGGGGCAACCCUGUGAGUACAGUGGCGUACGGGUGAGUAACACGUGACUACCUACCCUCGAGUGGGGGAUAACCCCGGGAAACCGGGGCUAAUACCGCAUAACAUCGCAAGAUCAAAGGAGCAAUUCGCUUGAGGAGGGGGUCGCGGCUGAUUAGCUAGUUGGUGAGGUAACGGCCCACCAAGGCAAUGAUCGGUAGCCGGCCUGAGAGGGCGCACGGCCACACUGGAACUGAAACACGGUCCAGACUCCUACGGGAGGCAGCAGUGGGGAAUUUUGCGCAAUGGGGGAAACCCUGACGCAGCAACGCCGCGUGGAGGAUGAAGUCCCUUGGGACGUAAACUCCUUUCGACCCGGACGAUAAUGACGGUACGGGUGGAAGAAGCACCGGCUAACUUCGUGCCAGCAGCCGCGGUAAUACGAGGGGUGCGAGCGUNGUUCGGAAUUAUUGGGCGUAAAGGGCGCG